AUGCCCAAGGGAAAGGCUGAAGGGGAUCCUAAAGGAGAUAAAGCCAAGGUGAAGGACGAACCACAAAGGAGAUCCGCGAGGUUGUCUGCUAAACCUUCUUCUCCAAAGCCAGAGCCCAAGCCUAAAAAGGCCCCUGCAAAGAAGGGAGAGAAGGUACUCAAAGAGAAGAAGGGAAAAGCUGAUGCUGGAAAGGAGGGGAAUAACCCUGCAGAAAAUGGAGAUGCCAAAACAGACCAGGAACAGAAAGCUGAAGGUGCUGGAGAUGCCAGA
rnacentral:lncRNA from 1 species